rnacentral:rRNA from 1 species
GAUGAACGCUGGCGGCGUGCCUAAUACAUGCAAGUCGAGCGGCAGCGCGAGUAGUUUACUACUUGGCGGCGAGCGGCGGACGGCUGAGUAACGCGUAGGAACGUACCCCAAAGUGAGGGAUAACUGCUCGAAAGAGUAGCUAAUACCGCAUGUGAUCUAAGGAUUAAAGCUUCGGCGCUUUGGGAACGGCCUGCGUUCGAUUAGCUAGUUGGUGAGGUAAAAGCUCACCAAGGCGACGAUCGAUAGCUGGUCUGAGAGGAUGAUCAGCCAGACUGGGACUGAGACACGGCCCAGACUCCUACGGGAGGCAGCAGUAGGGAAUUUUCCACAAUGGGCGAAAGCCUGAUGGAGCAACGCCGCGUGCAGGAUGAAUGCCUUAGGGUUGUAAACUGCUUUUAUAUGUGACGAUUAUGACGGUAGCAUAUGAAUAAGGAUCGGCUAACUCCGUGCCAGCAGCCGCGGUAA